rnacentral:rRNA from 1 species
GACGAACGCUGGCGGCGUGCCUAAUACAUGCAAGUCGAACGAACUCUGGUAUUGAUUGGUGCUUGCAUCAUGAUUUACAUUUGAGUGAGUGGCGAACUGGUGAGUAACACGUGGGAAACCUGCCCAGAAGCGGGGGAUAACACCUGGAAACAGAUGCUAAUACCGCAUAACAACUUGGACCGCAUGGUCCGAGUUUGAAAGAUGGCUUCGGCUAUCACUUUUGGAUGGUCCCGCGGCGUAUUAGCUAGAUGGUGGGGUAACGGCUCACCAUGGCAAUGAUACGUAGCCGACCUGAGAGGGUAAUCGGCCACAUUGGGACUGAGACACGGCCCAAACUCCUACGGGAGGCAGCAGUAGGGAAUCUUCCACAAUGGACGAAAGUCUGAUGGAGCAACGCCGCGUGAGUGAAGAAGGGUUUCGGCUCGUAAAACUCUGUUGUUAAAGAAGAACAUAUCUGAGAGUAACUGUUCAGGUAUUGACGGUAUUUAACCAGAAAGCCACGGCUAACUACGUGCCAGCAGCCGCGGUAAUGCGUAGGUGGCAAGCGUUGUCCGGAUUUAUUGGGCGUAAAGCGAGCGCAGGCGGUUUUUUAAGUCUGAUGUGAAAGCCUUCGGCUCAACCGAAGAAGUGCAUCGGAAACUGGGAAACUUGAGUGCAGAAGAGGACAGUGGAACUCCAUGUGUAGCGGUGAAAUGCGUAGAUAUAUGGAAGAACACCAGUGGCGAAGGCGGCUGUCUGGUCUGUAACUGACGCUGAGGCUCGAAAGUAUGGGUAGCAAACAGGAUUAGAUACCCUGGUAGUCCAUACCGUAAACGAUGAAUGCUAAGUGUUGGAGGGUUUCCGCCCUUCAGUGCUGCAGCUAACGCAUUAAGCAUUCCGCCUGGGGAGUACGGCCGCAAGGCUGAAACUCAAAGGAAUUGACGGGGGCCCGCACAAGCGGUGGAGCAUGUGGUUUAAUUCGAAGCUACGCGAAGAACCUUACCAGGUCUUGACAUACUAUGCAAAUCUAAGAGAUUAGACGUUCCCUUCGGGGACAUGGAUACAGGUGGUGCAUGGUUGUCGUCAGCUCGUGUCGUGAGAUGUUGGGUUAAGUCCCGCAACGAGCGCAACCCUUAUUAUCAGUUGCCAGCAUUAAGUUGGGCACUCUGGUGAGACUGCCGGUGACAAACCGGAGGAAGGUGGGGAUGACGUCAAAUCAUCAUGCCCCUUAUGACCUGGGCUACACACGUGCUACAAUGGAUGGUACAACGAGUUGCGAACUCGCGAGAGUAAGCUAAUCUCUUAAAGCCAUUCUCAGUUCGGAUUGUAGGCUGCAACUCGCCUACAUGAAGUCGGAAUCGCUAGUAAUCGCGGAUCAGCAUGCCGCGGUGAAUACGUUCCCGGGCCUUGUACACACCGCCCGUCACACCAUGAGAGUUUGUAACACCCAAAGUCGGUGGGGUAACCUUUUAGGAACCAGCCGCCUAA